GGGCACGGGGGGCCUACGGGAGGCAGCAGUGGGGAAUCUUGCGCAAUGGGCGAAAGCCUGACGCAGCCAUGCCGCGUGAAUGAUGAAGGUCUUAGGAUUGUAAAAUUCUUUCACCGGGGACGAUAAUGACGGACCCG
rnacentral:rRNA from 1 species